rnacentral:rRNA from 1 species
AUUGAACGCUGGCGGCAUGCCUUACACAUGCAAGUCGAACGGCAGCACGGGUGCUUGCUCCUGGUGGCGAGUGGCGAACGGGUGAGUAAUACAUCGGAACAUGUCCUGUAGUGGGGGAUAGCCCGGCGAAAGCCGGAUUAAUACCGCAUACGAUCUACGGAUGAAAGCGGGGGCCCUUCGGGCCUCGCGCUUUCGGGUUGGCCGAUGGCUGAUUAGCUAGUUGGUGGGGUAAAGGCCUACCAAGGCGACGAUCAGUAGCUGGUCUGAGAGGACGACCAGCCACACUGGGACUGAGACACGGCCCAGACUCCUACGGGAGGCAGCAGUGGGGAAUUUUGGACAAUGGGCGAAAGCCUGAUCCAGCAAUGCCGCGUGUGUGAAGAAGGCCUUCGGGUUGUAAAGCACUUUUGUCCGGAAAGAAAUCCUUGGCUCUAAUACAGUCGGGGGAUGACGGUACCGGAAGAAUAAGCACCGGCUAACUACGUG